GGCAUUGUAGUAUAAUGGUUAGGGAUCUGGGCUUGUAACUCAGAGGCAGUAGGAUCGAUUCCCAGCUGAGGCUC
rnacentral:tRNA from 1 species